rnacentral:rRNA from 1 species
GGUUGAUCCUGCCGGAGGUCACUGCUAUUGGGAUUCGACUAAGCCAUGCGAGUCGCGAGGGUUCGGCCCUCGGCUGACGGCUCAGUAACACGCGGAUAAUCUGCCCUUAGGUGGAGGAUAAUCUCGGGAAACUGAGAAUAAUAUUCCAUAGAUUUAGGAUGCUGGAAUGCACUUAAAUUAAAAGCUUCGGCGCCUAAGGAUGAGUCUGCGGACUAUCAGGUUGUAGUCAGGGUAACGACCUGACUAGCCUACGACGGAUACGGGUUGUGAGAGCAAUAACCCGGAGAUGAUAUCUGAGUCACGAUAUCAGGCCCUACGGGGCGCAGCAGGCGCGAAAACUUCGCAAUGUGCGAAAGCACGACGAGGGAAUCCCAAGUGCUGGCUCGUUAGAGUCAGCUGU